UGAAUUAAAAAAAAAACCCUUCCUAUGCUUCAUUUUUCUCAUUGAUUAAAUGGAGAUAGUAAUGGUUCCUGCAUAUGGUUGUGAGAAGUAAAUAAAAUGUAUAUAAAAUCUUUAGAACAGUGCCAAAUAUGCAGACCAAUAAAGGCUAGCUUGUGAAAUAGUUGCUAAGAAGGAAGAGCAUGUAGAAAGGCAGAGUGAAAUGCAGAGGAAGAAAAAGGGCUAUUUUGUGAAGGAAGGUCCCUGAGAAAGUUGAAGGUCAAGAAAUCUAGAUCAAAGUGUGGGGGAAUUCACCUUAGAAAGGUGAAUCAAGAUGAGAGGGAGAAGGAAAAGAGUUCAGAUGCUAAUUAUUUUGUGGACUAGAGGGAACCACAGGGAUAGAGGUUCCACCUCACAGAUGAACUCUGUUUUUUCUCUGAAAUAAGAUCAGAGGUUCAACCACUGCAGGUUAAGGAAAGGGUUAGAAUGAAGGAGGUUACUUCAAAGAGUGGCACAGACUCAAAAUAGCAGUUGUGGGCAAUAGUCAAGGGAACUGUACAGAGACAGAUCAAAGGAUUGUCAGCCAAGAUCAUGAAGACAGUUUGAGAUGAGGAGCAAUAAUUUGUGAUAGUAACAAUCCCAUGCUAUUGUGGACUUUCUCUAGCUGCCACUAAGCAGCUUGCAUUUCAAGCUGGAAAAGGCAGAUGACGAAUUGGUCAGUGGUCAGGAUUUUCUAGGUCACUGUAGAAAAUAGACAAAGAAAGCAAGGAAGCUAAGGGCACUAGCAAAAAUGUAUCAAGCCAUGAAUCCUGAGUACAGUCAGAAGAAACAUUGAAGUUGUGAAAGGGGUGAUGCUUAGCUGCUCUGAAGCCCGAAGAACAUGUGUGGUAGAACAAGGGGACAAACUAUUUGAAAGAACUCGUGCUUGUGUUUAAGGAAAGAUUUUCUAAGGUUAGUGAGAAAUUACUCCUGCUGUUCCUGAUGCUCCCUCUUUUCCAAGGUUAUGUCAAGCUUCAAGAGUACCUUUUACUCAGUGCCAAAGUUUCUAGUGACUCUUCUGUACAUUGAUCAUUGUACACACUGGUUAACAGGCAAAACACCUAUAUGCCAGCUUUCAUUGUGCACCUUUCUCCUGGUUCCGCACCAGCAAACUGGUUACCCUUGAUCUAAAACCAAGCCUAGCUGCCAUUGAUUUCAAUAGUCAGUCAUAUUUUCAGAGCUCUGGCAAGGAGCAGUGCAUAGAUGCCCUCUAUUCUUGUGGCCUACAAAAUUCUCCUGUGUACCCAGGCUCAUGAUAUCUUCAGGGAUCUCUUUUCAUUUUGGGUUGUCUAUUUCCUUUCAAACCAUAUUCUGUCAAUAGGCUGAACCCCGAGAGAACAAGCCAGGAAAUCAGUCACAUACCUUACAGAAGCAAGGAAUCAGUGGCUCUGCUGACCAACUGCUUGGAUAUACAUUUGCCUGAGGGGGGCAAAAGGUAAAGAAUGACAAGAACACUGAAGUAGUGAAAGCUCGCCAGAGAUACUGAUGCAAAAGAUGGUGCAAAGGGGGAGAUGCAGAACUAUCCCAGAUGAGAAAGACUGUCCUUAACCAUGUGAUGGAAUACAUUACAACACUUGGCUGCCAUCACACCUGCUCCUUGCUGGAGAUGGCCCACUGUGUCAUUUCCUGGAUGUCACAGACUUCCUGCUGAGGUGUCUCAGAGGUGCUCCCACAUGUCUACCUAUGGUGCUGACUGUUCCAUCCUCCACCUAUAAGGAAUCCACUCUGCUACCCAAGGCAAUUCCAGGUCCUUGUUCACCUUUAAAUUUUCUGGGCCAGAAUCAGGCCCCAGCUUGUGUCUUCUUCAACCCUUAGGGACACUGCCAUACUCUCAAAGUGGUUUUAUAGAAGCCCCCAAGCUUGACUGACAGUGUGAGCACCCACUUACAACUUGCAUGGCAAGGAAAAUACAUGGCACUCUGGAAGCUCUCCCUAAGGAAACAAUUCCUGUGUUCCUUGCUACCCUUACAUGUAGACUGGGAUGCUGGUAAUGGGCUGUAAGAGGCAGCCUAGCAUCCGGAGAAUAUGGAUGUAUUUUCCAGCUGUGGUUGUUAUCAGCUUGAGAGCUUUGGAGCCACAUAGGAAAUUGAGGCAAAGAGAAAUGUUAUGUAAAACUCAGCCUGUCCUUGUAUAACACUUUUACAAUUGCAUUAUUUGAUUCAGUGAGUACAGUGGUUAGAAUCCUUAGGAUGCCAAUAGACCAAACUGAGUUUGGUAUGAUUUCAGUAGAAGUGUUUAACACUGUAGAAUUAUGUUAGCUGGAGGUGUGUCAUGUACCAAACGUAGUGCAUCGUGUUCAAAAACCCACCUAUAUAGACAGAAGGAAAGUGAAAGGGUAAGAAACACACAUAGCAUAGAUCUAUUAAGUUUAUAAGCAAAAAAGGAAAAAUAGAUUUUUUAAAUUCUAUUGGCUGCUGAAACUCAAGCUCCUAGAAAGGGAAGACCAAGACAAACACAAAGCUCAUACAAGGGAAGAAAUUAUAAAGAUCAGAGCAGAAAUCAGUGCA